rnacentral:rRNA from 1 species
UGGGGAAUUUUGGACAAUGGGCGCAAGCCUGAUCCAGCAAUGCCGCGUGUGUGAAGAAGGCCUUCGGGUUGUAAACCUCUUUCAGCAGGGAAGAAGCGCAAGUGACGGUACCUGCAGAAGAAGCACCGGCUAACUACGUGCCAGCAGCCGCGGUAAUACGUAGGGUGCGAGCGUUGUCCGGAAUUAUUGGGCGUAAAGAGCUUGUAGGCGGUUUGUCGCGUCUGCUGUGAAAAUCCGGGGCUCAACCCCGGACUUGCAGUGGGUACGGGCAGACUAGAGUGUGGUAGGGGAGACUGGAAUUCCUGGUGUAGCGGUGAAAUGCGCAGAUAUCAGGAGGAACACCGAUGGCGAAGGCAGGUCUCUGGGCCACUACUGACGCUGAGAAGCGAAAGCAUGGGGAGCGAAC